rnacentral:Y_RNA from 1 species
GGCUGGUCUGAUGGUAGUGGGUUAUCAGAACUUAUUAACAUUAGUGUCACUAAAGUUGGUAUUCAACCCCCCACUGCUAAAUUUGACUGGCUUUUA